rnacentral:rRNA from 1 species
AUACGGAGGGUGCAAGCGUUAAUCGGAAUUACUGGGCGUAAAGCGCGCGUAGGCGGUUUUGUAAGUCGGAUGUGAAAGCCCAGGGCUCAACCUUGGAAUUGCAUUCGAAACUGCAUGACUAGAGGAUGGUAGAGGGAAGUGGAAUUCCAGGUGUAGCGGUGAAAUGCGUAGAUAUCUGGAGGAACAUCAGUGGCGAAGGCGACUUCCUGGACCAAUACUGACGCUGAGGUGCGAAAGCGUGGGGAGCAAACAGGAUUAGAUACCCCAGUAGUCC